rnacentral:rRNA from 1 species
UACGUAGGGCGCAAGCGCUGUCCGGAAUUAUUGGGCGUAAAGAGCUCGUAGGCGGCCUGUUACGUCUGCUGUGAAAUCCCGGGGCUUAACCCCGGGCCUGCAGUGGAUACGGGCAGGCUAGAGGCAGGCAGGGGAGAAUGGAAUUCCUGGUGUAGCGGUGAAAUGCGCAGAUAUCAGGAGGAACACCGGUGGCGAAGGCGGUUCUCUGGGCCUUACCUGACACUGAGGAGCGAAAGCGUGGGGAGCGAACAGG